rnacentral:lncRNA from 1 species
GUAAGAAAAUGCCUGCAGCCCCUUGCACUCGCGGAGUCAUCUACGCAAGGUCGGGCUCUGCAGGCAGCAGCUUCUGGUCUCACCCCGGGCUUGUGCGCACACCUGGGGACAUGUGGGAAGGUCGCUCUUGCGGCCACUGAGCGGCCUGGCCUCAGGGAACGAGCCCCGCGCCGGGAAGAAAGCUGCCUGCCGGGAGCGCAGCCUAUUGGGGACCCGGGACCCGAGCCACCGCGGCUCACCAAGAGGCGGUGGGGCCCUGCGGUGCGUGUGGGACGCCGGGCAGGCAGACUCUGAGCACGGCCAGGAGGCAAGAAGAGAUUGAAGGGAAAUCUCAAGGGGCUCCAGAGACUACUACGAUGGUGCAAAGUCACAGAAGCCCUGGGAAAAGCAGGUAGAAUGGAGUUGCCAUGACAUUGAGCCUCACCUAGAUGCCAGUUCCAGAUAUUGGCAGACUGCUGGCCUCCUGAGGAGCACAGGAAGGGGCCUGGCAGACUGGUGAUCCUGGUUGGAGAUGAAGAGGGGCUGAUUAAGAGGAGCUGACUGAGGCUGGGAGGUUUCCUGCCCGGGAGUGGCGAGCCUGUCAGAGCUGCACCUGGGCCUACCUGUACCUAGGAGAGAUUCAGGGUUCCCUUCAAAUUAAGUCAUCUCUUCUUCAAGGCUCAGUCAUAUAAAUUUCAAAGGACACGUGGCCAUGCUCCAUACCAGAAAGGUUUGAAGGAGGUUUAACAACCUCAAGAAACUCAGACAAUCAUCCAGUGCCUCGCCCAGCAGGAAAGUGCUGAAGCGGGUGGGGUGACUGGUCACCAAGCAAGGCUCAUGCGGAUGGGCAUCGAUAAAGACAUCGAUAAAGACGUGGUUACCAUGGCAACCAUCACUUCUAACUUCUUAUCAAACCACAUCCUGUGAACAUGAGGGAGCAGAGCCGAAGUGAGAGCCAGAGACCCUGCAUCCUUCCUUAUUCUACUCUUGCUACCAUUCCGCACCACUACCGUGCCUCAGUUUCCCCCAAUUUAAAGUGAGACAAUACUUCUUUACCUUUCAUCUGACCACGGACACUUGGGAAGCCAUGCCUAGAGGAGGCUUCACCCCUCAGUGAAAAGAGACCUCAGGGAGACCUUGUUCUCCCUGAGCCUUGUACAUUCAGAUUUUCUAGGAGUUGAACAGGUAAGAGGUACCUGAGUAAGAGGUAUAAUAUUAAUAAUUCUACCGCC